rnacentral:rRNA from 1 species
GCCUACGGGGGGCAGCAGUGGGGAAUAUUGCACAAUGGGGGAAACCCUGAUGCAGCGACGCCGCGUGAGUGAAGAAGUAUUUCGGUAUGUAAAGCUCUAUCAGCAGGGAAGAAAUAGCGACCUUUGGGUCGCCAGACGGUACCUGAUUAAGAAGCCCCGGCUAACUACGUGCCAGCAGCCGCGGUAAUACGGAGGAUGCGAGCGUUAUCCGGAUUUAUUGGGUUUAAAGGGUGCGUAGGCGGAUUUUUAAGUCAGCGGUAAAAUGUCCGGGCUCAACCCGGGCCGGCCGUUGAAACUGGGGAUCU